rnacentral:rRNA from 1 species
GAUGAACGCUGGCGGCGUGCCUAAUACAUGCAAGUCGAGCGAACAGACGAGGAGCUUGCUCCUCUGACGUUAGCGGCGGACGGGUGAGUAACACGUGGAUAACCUACCUAUAAGACUGGGAUAACUUCGGGAAACCGGAGCUAAUACCGGAUAAUAUAUUGAACCGCAUGGUUCAAUAGUGAAAGACGGUUUUGCCGUCACUUAUAGAUGGAUCCGCGCCGCAUUAGCUAGUUGGUAAGGUAACGGCUUACCAAGGCAACGAUGCGUAGCCGACCUGAGAGGGUGAUCGGCCACACUGGAACUGAGACACGGUCCAGACUCCUACGGGAGGCAGCAGUAGGGAAUCUUCCGCAAUGGGCGAAAGCCUGACGGAGCAACGCCGCGUGAGUGAUGAAGGUCUUCGGAUCGUAAAACUCUGUUAUUAGGGAAGAACAAAUGUGUAAGUAUCUAUGCACGUCUUGACGGUACCUAAUCAGAAAGCCACGGCUAACUACGUG